UACAGAGGGCCCGAGCGUUGUUCGGAUUCAUUGGGCGUAAAGGGUGCGUAGGCGGCGGAGCAAGUCUGAUGUGAAAUCCCGGGGCUCAACCCCGGAACUGCAUUGGAUACUGCUUUGCUAGAGUACUGGAGAGGGAACUGGAAUUUACGGUGUAGCAGUGAAAUGCGUAGAGAUCGUAAGGAAGGCCAGUGGCGAAGGCGAGUUCCUGGACAGUAACUGACGCUGAGGCACGAAGGCCAGGGGAGCAAACGGG
rnacentral:rRNA from 1 species